AAUAGGCAUUGUCUCUGUAUGAUUGACGUUGAAGAGGGCCCUCAGACUUAAAUGUUGCAUUCAAGUGUCUCCAUGUUGAUGUUCUAUCUUAUUUUAAUGCUACUAUGUUGAACAGGGGAUAAAUUUAAUAGCUAGUAUUAAUCAUUUAGAUGUUCUUCCAUAUUUUAUUACUUCUUUCAGCAUAUACCAUUGCAGGAGUGGCUUUCUAAUUGUUCUUGCGUAUAAGCAUUCUUUUAAUUAAACUCUCUAUUUCGUGUCUUGGCAAUUCUUAAACCUGCAAUUUGCAUUUCUUUUGUUUAUGCUUUUCAAUAUGCUUUUUAAUUCUCUCUCUCUAUAUACAGUAAGAGUCUACUUG
rnacentral:misc_RNA from 1 species